rnacentral:rRNA from 1 species
UGAGUAAUGUCUGGGAAACUGCCUGAUGGAGGGGGAUAACUACUGGAAACGGUAGCUAAUACCGCAUAACGUCGCAAGACCAAAGAGGGGGACCUUCGGGCCUCUUGCCAUCAGAUGUGCCCAGAUGGGAUUAGCUAGUAGGUGGGGUAACGGCUCACCUAGGCGACGAUCCCUAGCUGGUCUGAGAGGAUGACCAGCCACACUGGAACUGAGACACGGUCCAGACUCCUACGGGAGGCAGCAGUGGGGAAUAUUGCACAAUGGGCGCAAGCCUGAUGCAGCCAUGCCGCGUGUAUGAAGAAGGCCUUCGGGUUGUAAAGUACUUUCAGCGGGGAGGAAGGUGUUGUGGUUAAUAACCGCAGCAAUUGACGUUACCCGCAGAAGAAGCACCGGCUAACUCCGUGCCAGCAGCCGCGGUAAUACGGAGGGUGCAAGCGUUAAUCGGAAUUACUGGGCGUAAAG